UGCUGAACCCGCGUGCCGACUUCUUCCUCCUCGCGUGCCCGACACCUCGUCGCGACCCGUGCCCUAACCGGCGCCUCUUCCCUUCUUCUUUUCUUCCCCUCGCGCCCGAUCACUUCCCAUUUCUUCUCCUCACUUUCUCUAGUUGCCUCCGCCCGAUUCUUCUCCUCAUCAUCUUCUUCAUCGCGCCGCCGCCUGACGCCGCAACCCUGCUUCCUCCUCCCUGGGUUCGUGAUACCGCCGGCCGUCUCCUCUGUGCCGAUCACCGGUUCGACCCAGUGCCGCUGUGGCCGCUGUCGCCUCUGCCCUAGCGCCGACCCUUCUUUCCUCUUCCUCCAUCAUUUUUGCCCUUAGCCGACGCCACCACAGCAACACACGGGCGAGCCCUAGCGUCGGCUGCCCCUUUUGCACAGAGAGGUCGUAGCGUGGAGGACUGGUGGUGCGACAUUCUAGCCGCAAUUAGACUGAAGGUGAUUGGAGAGGCCGCACAGUGCCCUAGUUUCCCUUGCCACAGCAAGACCAUCGUCCAGUUUACUGUCGCUGUUGAUCAGUGCUGUCAUCGUAAGGAGAAGGAGCAUCGCUUAAGGGAUUAGGCCAACCUUCCCUUUUCUGUGGAGUCGGGAAGAAUUUGCAGAUCUCACACAAGAGGAGUCCACGAUCUCUUCCUCUUCACUGCCCAGAGUCAGGGUGUUGGCGAUACAGACAGAACCUAGAGAGCAGUGAAAGGACCUUGACGCGAGACGAGUAUCUCGACGUCGUGUUCGGACCAGAUUUGACAUUUC